UAUCAGUAGUAGGAGUACGAAAACUUGUUUUUACCGGCCCAAUAGCUUUUAGAUCCGUGCUGUGGUCCCCACCUCUCCGUUGUAUUCUGCCGUAUCCCUUUCCGCCUCAUUCUGUAUCUCCUCUAAUUAGUCAAGUCACCGAACAGUACUAUACAGGGCGGCGACCACCCCCAACCUCUCCAGAUCGAAAAGGCGGCGACCGAGCCGUCGCCGAACCGCGGAAGAAACGGGCCUGGCGGCGGAGCAGGUGGUGGGUGAGGAGACCCGGCAGCCUUCGCCAUAGAUCUCCGCCCCCCGUACGUCUCAGACCACUACGUACUGUCGCAGGCAGAUGACGAAGACGCCGACGCCGACGCCGUAUCCCUCCUGAAUCCUGGACGGCCACAGGGAUCUCCGCAUCCGCCCCCUGGUUGCUCGCUAGUAGCUAUGGCUGAUCAAGGGCUCGCCGCGGCCCUCCUCAUCAUCCUGGCGCGUCGCCGGUCGCGUGGGCCGAGCCACGCAGGCUAAUCAGGGCUCGCCGCCUCGACUUCGUCGCCUCUCUCUUCGACGAACUUACCGUCGGCACCCACGCGGGGAAUUGAAGUUGGUGUUGUGAGAAAAGAAGAUUCUAUUUUCGGAACCUCGGGACAGAGGAUAUCGAUCAGCAGUUAACAGCCAUACAUGAACGUGAUUUAGCGGCCAUGAAAUUAACUACGAUGAAGUUUUUUGGCACUCACUCUUGUCCCGAUCCAUUACUAUCCAAGAAAGUCAGUUAACAAUUUCAAGUGUAGCAUCCUCUGUGUGGUUUAAUCUGCUAAGAUUUAAUUUGAUGUUGCUGGCAGUUGCAACUGGUCAUCUGGAUAAAUGUAAGGAGAACAAAAACAUGUUGGUUGCCCUUGUCCACCGAGUUCUCUUGAUCUCUCU